rnacentral:rRNA from 1 species
CCUACGGGAGGCAGCAGUGAGGAAUAUUGGUCAAUGGGCGGAAGCCUGAACCAGCCAAGUCGCGUGAGGGAAUAAGGCCCUACUGGUCGUAAACCUCUUUUGCCGGGGAGCAAGGGCGGGGACGUGUCCCGGCCCGGAGAGUACCCGGAGAAAAAGCAUCGGCUAACUCCGUGCCAGCAGCCGCGGUAAUACGUAGGUGGCAAGCGUUGUCCGGAUUUACUGGGUGUAAAGGGCGUGCAGCCGGGAAGACAAGUCAGAUGUGAAAUCCCGCGGCUCAACCGCGGAACUGCAUUUGAAACUGUUUU